CUGGGCCCCAAACAUCUGUGUGGACUAACUCAAGCUUUACUUGCUUCAGAGUUCUACCACUUGUGUUGAAACUCACCCUCUUCUGGUAGUUUCCCUUUCGAAUGCAUAUACUUGAGCCCUUUCUGGCUCAUGUGCCCAAGUCUUUGGUGCCACAAAUUUGCAUUCUUCUUGCUAUCAGCAACUGCAAUUGUCACACACGCAUUCAUCGCUG
rnacentral:lncRNA from 1 species